rnacentral:rRNA from 17 species
UUUGUAUAAUGGGUCAGCGACUUAUAUUUAGUAGCAAGGUUAACCGAAUAGGGGAGCCGUAGCGAAAGCGAGUGUUAACUGCGCGUUUAGUUGCUAGGUAUAGACCCGAAACCCGGUGAUCUAGCCAUGGGCAGGUUGAAGGUUGAGUAACAUCAACUGGAGGACCGAACCCACUAACGUUGAAAAGUUAGGGGAUGACUUGUGGCUGGGGGUGAAAGGCCAAUCAAACCGGGAGAUAGCUGGUUCUCCCCGAAAUCUAUUUAGGUAGAGCCUCGGACGAAUUCCAUUGGGGGUAGAGCACUGUUAAGGCUAGGGGGUCAUCC